rnacentral:rRNA from 1 species
CCUACGGGGGGCAGCAGUGGGGAAUAUUGGACAAUGGGGGGAACCCUGAUCCAGCCAUGCCGCGUGUGUGAAGAAGGCCCUCGGGUUGUAAAGCACUUUCAGUGAGGAAGAACGCCUGGUGGUUAAUACCCAUCAGGAAAGACAUCACUCACAGAAGAAGCACCGGCUAACUCCGUGCCAGCAGCCGCGGUAAUACGGAGGGUGCGAUCGUUAAUCGGAAUUACUGGGCGUAAAGCGCGCGUAGGUGGCUUGAUAAGCCGGUUGUGAAAGCCCCGGGCUCAACCUGGGAACGGCAUCCGGAACUGUCAAGCUAGAGUGCAGGAGAGGAAGGUAGAAUUCCCGGUGUAGCGGUGAAAUGCGUAGAGAUCGGGAGGAAUACCAGUGGCGAAGGCGGCCUUCUGGACUGACACUGACACUGAGGUGCGAAAGCGUGGGUAGCAAACAGGAUUAGAUACCCUGGUAGUC